CCCGCUCGGCCGCUCCCGUACGCCCGCAGUCCCGCUCGGCCGCUCCCGUACCCCGCGCACCAGGCGCCCAAACGGCCGCCACCACCUCCCCGCCGCCUGCCGCCUGCCCUCGCUUCCCGCCGCCACCUCCCCGCCGCCACCUCUCUGCCGCUCACCCUCGCUCCCCGCCGCCCGAGUCCCGACGCCCGGUACCCCGUCGCCACCCCAAGCCGCUGAUCCCACCCGUCUGUCAGCCUUGGCCUGCCGUAAGCCAUGAGUCCGCCUCCGCGCCGGGGCUUCCUCCUCACCGCAGAUCGGCUGCUGCUUCCGCGCCGUGGAGGUGUUUCCGACUUUCCGCCUGUUGGGAUAGGACAGCUUUGCAGACGCCUGCAACCUGUUCGACCGAAUGCUUCUGCGAAGGAUAUUAGUCUCACCUAACCGUAUCGAGGCUUGUGUGCUAUUGUUCAGUUUCAUGCUCGUGUUCGUCUUCAAUUGUUCUGUUGAUUGAAAGUUGCUGUACCUCUUGGAAAUGGUCUAUCUAGUGAGAAUCACAUAGCCCUAAUGCUUUGAUUGCUUUCUGCUGUUCGAAUCAGUAUGCUUUAUACUGGAUAAUACGUGAUGUUGGCUAGUAAACACCAUUCGUUCAACUUU